rnacentral:rRNA from 1 species
UACGUAGGGUGCAAGCGUUGUCCGGAAUUAUUGGGCGUAAAGAGCUCGUAGGCGGUCUGUCGCGUCGGCUGUGAAAUCCCGAGGCUCAACCUCGGGUCUGCAGUCGAUACGGGCAAACUAGAGUAUUGCAGGGGAGACUGGAAUUCCUGGUGUAGCGGUGAAAUGCGCAGAUAUCAGGAGGAACACCGGUGGCGAAGGCGGGCUCUGGGCAAUAACUGACGCUGAGGAGCGAAAGCGUGGGGGAGCAAACAGG